ACACAUGCAGUCGAGCGCACCUUCGGGUGAGCGGCGGACGGGUUAGUAACGCGUGGGAACGUACCCUUCUCUAAGGAAUAGCCACUGGAAACGGUGAGUAAUACCUUAUACGCCCUUCGGGGGAAAGAUUUAUCGGAGAAGGAUCGGCCCGCGUUAGAUUAGGUAGUUGGUGGGGUAAUGGCCUACCAAGCCUACGAUCUAUAGCUGGUUUGAGAGGAUGAUCAGCAACACUGGGACUGAGACACGGCCCAGACUCCUACGGGAGGCAGCAGUGGGGAAUCUUAGACAAUGGGCGAAAGCCUGAUCUAGCCAUGCCGCGUGAGUGACGAAGGCCCUAGGGUCGUAAAGCUCUUUCGCUGGGGAAGAUAAUGACUGUACCCAGUAAAGAAACCCCGGCUAACUCCGUGCCAGCAGCCGCGGUAAUACGGAGGGGGUUAGCGUUGUUCGGAAUUACUGGGCGUAAAGCGUACGUAGGCGGAUUAGUCAGUCAGAGGUGAAAUCCCAGGGCUCAACCCUGGAACUGCCUUUGAUACUGCUAGUCUUGAGUUCGAGAGAGGUGAGUGGAAUUGCGAGUGUAGAGGUGAAAUUCGUAGAUAUUCGCAGGAACACCAGUGGCGAAGGCGGCUCACUGGCUCGAUACUGACGCUGAGGUACGAAAGUGUGGGGAGCAAACAGGAUUAGAUACCCUGGUAGUCCACACCGUAAACGAUGAAUGCCAGUCGUCGGCAAGCAUGCUUGUCGGUGACACACCUAACGGAUUAAGCAUUCCGCCUGGGGAGUACGGCCGCAAGGUUAAAACU
rnacentral:rRNA from 1 species